UGUACCACUUUUUGUUGGGUAGGUCAUGUAGGCGAAAAACCUGCAAAAAGGGGGCGAGGUCCUGAAGAGGUUAAGUUCCCCCAGCAUAUCGUCAAUACCACCUUGAGACCUAACAUUGUCUUGGUAUCUGAGGCAACAAAGAACCUGGUCAUGUUGGAACUCACUGUGCCAUGGGAGGAUCGAAUGGAGGAAGCUUUUGAACGGAAGAGGGCGAAAUAUGAAGGCCCCAUCAACGACUGCCAUAAGCAAGGCUGGAAGGCAAGGUGCUUACCUGUGGAGGUGGGGUGCAGAGGCUUUGCAGGGCAGUCCCUCUACAGGGCCUAUACUGCACUCGGCAUCACGGGUGAGAGAAGAAGAAGGGCUAUCUGCAAUAGCACAGAGGCUGCAGAGAAGUCUUUGAGGUGGCUCUGGAUAAAAAGAGAAAAGCCGUGGACAAAUGCUGCUAGGGCACAAGCUGAGGCUUGAUCAACCUCAGUUGGGUCACCUGAAGGAGUGUGUCUGAUGAUUCGAAAGACCAGAAAAACAAUGAGAUCAGGAACAUCACUGAUGAUGUGCCCUAGCUUAGCAUCAGUUGAUGCAUCAUUACAAAUGUGAUCAUAAAGUGACUGCUCCAACCCGUCGCCAUAGAACAAUUAAUUCUUCAACCAUUUAAUCAUUCUCAGAGGCUUUUAAUGCUAUUGACGAUGACUUCAAGGUCUUUAUACGGCCUUAACACUGAAGAUUUUACUUCUUUGUUCUCUUCAAUUUGUCUUCAUAUCUUGGAUACUGUGGCUCCUUUUAAGAUGGUUCGAGCAAAACCUAGAACUCAACCAUGGCUGAGCGCUAUGAUUCGAACUGUAAGGCUCGAGUGUAGAAGGGCGGAACGCCACUGGAAGAAGGAUAAAUUGCAGAUUUCCUUUGAUAUUUUAAAGGAGAAUCUGCUUAAAGACCAAAAAACUAAUCUGAAAAAUCUGAGAAAAUCUGUUAAAUCUGAGAAAUCAAAGUAUCUUUCUAGUGUCAUCUGUAAUAACUCCAACAAGGCAGUUGUGCUAUUUAGUACAAUUAACUCUGUUUUAAACACUCCCCAAGCAGCCUGCCUAGAGCCUUCAGCUGAGAUGUGAGAAACUUUUAGACUUUUACAUUGACAAGAUUGAGGCUGUUCGAGCUAAUAUUUUGCUCCCUUCAACUUUUUCAUCCAUUUCCACUGAGUGCUCUGCUGUUUUUGAUCAGUUUGAGUUGGUGUCUCUUGAUUCACUGAAAGAGACCUCUGUUAAAAUGAAACCAUCCUCAUGUGGUAUGGAUGUUGUCCCUCUCCGUCUUCUUAAAGAUUAAUUUGAAACCAUUAGUCCUAAAAUUCUUGCUAUUAUCAAUAGCAGCCUGGCUUUAGGAGUUGUACCUAAAUCUUUUAAACAUGCUGCUGUGGAACCAGUAGUCAAGAAACCUAAUUUGGACCCAUCAGUUUUUGCUCAUUAUAGACCUAUCUCAAAACUCCCAUUUCUAUCCAAACUAUUGGAGAAGGUUGUAUUUGGACAAUUGAACUAAUUUUUAGAUUUACAUGGUAUUCAUGAAGUAUUUCAGUCUAGUUUUAAAGCACUAAACAUCACAGAAACUGUACUAUUGAAGGUUUUUAAUGACUUACUACUUGUCGCUGACUGUGCUUAAUCUUAAUUUUACUGGACCUUUUGGCUGCAUUUGAUAAAGUUGAUCAUAAUAUCUUGAUUUCAUGACUCGAACAAUGUGUUGGUAUUAAGGGUACUGCAUUGGAAUGGUUUAAAUCCUAUUUGGAAGAACUUUUUUGGUUCAUCUUGGGGUCCCCCAGGGUUCCAUUUUGGGGCCUAUUCUGUUCUCCCUGUAUAUGCUCCCUUUGGGGCAUAUUUUUAGGAAAUUUGGUAUUUCUUCAUUGUUAUGCAGAUGACCUGCAAAUUUAUCUGCCCUUGAAACGUAAAGAUACCUGCGCUCUAUUGCCUCUAAUGCAGUGUUUUGAAGAAAUUAAGACCUGGAUGGCACUAAAUUUCCUCAAUUUUAAUGAAAACAAAAAACAGAAGUGGUGUUGUUUUACGCCACGGGGAACAUGUGAGUCAUUAGACCUAAACCUAAGUAAGCUGAAUCCAUAUGUGAAGCCCUUUGUAAAAAAAAUUGGGCGUUGUUAUGGAUUGUGGUUUUAAAUUGGAAAACAGAUUAAUUUAGUAGUUAAAUCAUGUUUUUUCCAAUUGAUACAACUCACCAAGGUGAACCCUUUCCUGUCCUCUAAGGACUUUCAAAGAGUUGUGCAUAUUUUCAUCUCAAAUCGCCUUGAUUACUGUAAUAGCCUUUAUUUAGGUAUUAAUCAGGCCUAUCUCUCCAGACUGCAAAUGGUCCAGAAUGCGGCAGCCGCCUAUUGAUGGGCACGAAAGCGGGAACAUAUCUCUCCCAUUCUCACGUCUCUUCACGGGCUUCCUGUCUAUUAUAUAUAAUUUUAAAAUAUUGGUGCUUGUUUUUAAAUCUCUUAAUGUGUCAGCGCCAAGUUACUUAUCAGAUUUGAUUAAUCUGUAUGCUCUGUCAAGAGCACUAAGGUCUGCUGAUCAUUUGCUUUUAGCUGUUCCAAGAGUAAAACUGAGGAGCAGGGGGGACCGAGCGAGGUCUUCAAAUCUGGCCUAAAAACAUAUUUUUACUUUGUGGCAUUCGAUGCCAUGUGAGAGCUGCUAUCUUUUAUUGUUUUGUUGUGUCUUGUGUUUUUCUUUUAUUUGUGUGUUUGUAUUAAUAAAUCCUGUUUCCUCUUUGUAUGUACAGCACUUUGACAAACACUUGUUUCUAAAAAAAAAAGUGCUUUAUAAAUAAACUUGACUGACUUUGACUGCAGAGAAUGCCCCCUCGGGGAGUGGCCGGGGGUGUUCUUACAUAUGUAUACCUCAUGAGUCCUCCAUUCACUGUGCUGGACAUGAUCUAGCACUGAAACAGUCUGAACAUUUGUUAAUCAGACAAGUAUUUAGAAGGAUUCGGCCAUUUUUGUUCACACAGACUGCUCAGGUACUUGUUCAGUCUCUUGUCAUUUCAAGACUGGAUUACGGCAGCGCAUUGCUGGCAGGUCUACAUAUGAACACAAUCCAUCCUCUGCAAAUGAUCCAAAAUGCAGCUCCCUGGCUUGUUUUUAACCUGCCAAAGUUCUCCACAACACCCCGCUGCUGUGAUCCCUCCAGUGGCUUCCGGUAGCGGUAUGCAUCAGAUUCAAAACACUGAUGCUGGCCUACAAAGCCAAAAAUGGACCAGGUCCCUCUUACCUCAAAGCCCUCAUCACACCUCAAAAAGGGAGACUGAAAUGACUCAUUAUUAGCCAUUUGAGAGAACUAAUUAGCAUAAUCCAACAGUCACAUCCAAGCAACACUACAUAAUCAACAAUACUUUACAACACAGCUCUACUUGUGACAACAAUCUAGACUCAAAUGAAACAAGUAAAUAGUACACAAUCCUAGUCAGAGUCCUAUCUUACCAGUAGAGAAUACAUUCAAAGCAACCAAACUCAUUCACACCUCAUAACACAUCACCCCCCCACUCCAACUUCUGCUCUCUCUCUCUUCCCCCUCUAAUCAACCUUAGCACAGAGGAGAAUGUUCCCCCACCCAUGAUCACUGCAGCUCAGGUGUGCAGAGAACUGAGGAGCCUUUGUCCCAGCAAAGCAACUGGUCCAGAUGGAGUAUCACCAUGACUACUGAAGGUCUGCUCGUUGUUGCUGGGAGACCCUCUAAAGCAUAACUUUAACCUGAAUGGGGAACAGGAGAGGGUCUCUGCUCCAUGGUCUUCAUUAUUUGUGAUGUCGACCAUGGAGCAGGUGCUACUACACCACAUGAAGCCACAAGUCUGCCAUGCCCUUGAGCCUCUGCAGUUUGCAUAUGAGGAGAAGGUGGGAUUUGAGCCCACUCCCAUCUUGUGGCAUGGAUUACGGACUACCUGACACGCAGACUUCAGUACGUGCAACUGGGAGACUGCAGGUCUGACUUGGUGCUCAGCCGUAUGGGAGUGCCACAAUGGACUGUGCUCUCUCCGGCCCUGUUAACCCUGUACACCUUAGACUUCCAAUAUACCUCGGAGUCCAGCCACAUGCAAAAGAGGAGGAGGAGUACUUGGAACUGAUCCAGGACUUUGAUGCAGGGUUUCAGACUCUAAGAACUAGUCACAUCAGCCCUGCUCUGAUUAAGACUGAAAUGGAUCAGGGAGAGCAGAACUGAGCCACACAAUAAUAUAAAGAUCAGUGAAGUGAGAGAGAGAUUUACAUGAAGACGGCUGAGUGAUCCUCUUUCUCCCAGAAUAGAGCAGCAUUUCACCAGAUGUUCAACUUUCUUCAUCCAAACUCACUGAAGCACAACACACAGCCCUGAAUCUACAGCUAAACACACUCUCUCCUCACACUGAUAAUGACUAUUAACUCCAAGAAAAGAACACACAAUGUCCAAAAUGAAGCUUUAUUUCAGCAGAGCAAAACUACAGGAAGAGCAACAGGACAGUGGAGAGAGUAAAGACAGAAAUGUCAGCAUUGUGUAGAACUAUAACUCUAUUGUAGAUGGAUGUGGAAGCAGCUCAGUGUUCAGUUCUAUCUUGGAGCUGUUCGCCUUAACACUGGCUCUUUCUGAACGUGACCGGAUGAUCCACGCCCUCGUGGGAGACCGUACAGACAAACUCCUCCCCCUUUUCCCAGAGUGCUUGGCUGAGGGUCAG